CCUACGGGAGGCUGCAGUGAGGAAUAUUGGUCAAUGGGCGAGAGCCUGAACCAGCCAAGUCGCGUGAGGGAGUACUGCCCUAUGGGUUGUAAACCUCUUUUGUCGGGGAGCAAAAGCCGGACGUGUCCGGCUGUGAGAGUACCCGAAGAAAAAGCAUCGGCUAACUCCGUGCCAGCAGCCGCGGUAAUACGGAGGAGGCGAGCGUUAGCCGGAUUUAUUGGGUUUAAAGGGUGCUCAGGCGGAUUUUUAAGUCAGCGGUAAAAUCGUGGGGCUCAACCCCAUCCAGCCGUUGAAACUGGGGAUCUAGAGUGUGCGAGAGGUAUGCGGAAUGCGUGGUGUAGCGGUGAAAUGCAUAGAUAUCACGCAGAACCCCGAUUGCGAAGGCAGCAUACCGGUGCACAACUGACGCUCAGGCACGAAAGCGUGGGUAUCGAACAGGAUUAGAUACCCUGGUAGUC
rnacentral:rRNA from 1 species